UACAGUUUGGCUAAAACUAUUGACUAAAAGUUGACUAAAAUGCAAUGACUUUUCGUCGACUAAAACUAGACUAAAACUAUGAAAGACUCAAAUGACUAAAAUGUGACUAAGACUAUUAAGCAUUUUCGUCUCAAGACUAAGACUAAGACUAAAUCAAAAACGCCUGCCAAAAUUAACACUGUCCUCCACUGCAGUCGCGGGGAGGGAGUAAAAUCUUUGCGUGGCAGGGGCGUCUAUUUUGAGACACCAUGAAAUAUGAACUAAAAUAUGCUUUUAAUAUACUAUCUCUGUAUUUAAAAAAUAUAUAUUUAGAUAGGCCUACCACUUAUAGUACCAUUUGAACCCAUAGUGUACUACAAGUGGUAACUAAAUACAUUUUUUAAAUACAGAGAUAGUAUAUUAAAAGCACAUUUUAGUUCAUAUUUCGUCUCAAAAUAGCACACUUAAGUGCACUUAUAGACGCUCUUAAGAUUAUCUUACUUAAGAAGUACUAAAGAAGAAUUUUUAGUAGCCUAUGUUAAGUACUGCUUGAAAAACUUUUUUCAGUGCAUGUUCCUGGGUCAGCAUGUUUUGUUGGUCCUGGAACAACAAUCCUGUCAAGUUAUAACCCAAACCCUAAUCACAACCUUACUCUUAAACUAGAGGAAAUGUAAAGAUUGAUAACAAUGGUGUACAAGUCUCUAACCUUGAUCACGUGCAACUUCGUAAGCCAAUCAUUUUCAAGAAGGCCUCGUCUCCGUCCUGUUGCGAUAAGAGCCUUGCUGCCAUCUAGUGGUCAUUACAGGAACAAAGCACAUCCAAACAAACCUCCGUCCUUCAUCCCUCACAUUUCUCACCCCUGAAGAUGAGUAAUGGCAGUGUCAUAGUGAUACUUCUCCAUUCAUCAUAAUCAGAAGAUAGCGCGCCAAAGCAGCACAGGACAAAGUGAAUAUACCAAGAGAAGGGGAGUGAUUCAUUAGGGUAAGAUAUUAAACAACACUCUUUAGCAUAUGUGCCUUUAAUUAGGAUAUAAAAAGACACCCGCCCUCUGUCUCUCUGCCAUUUUCUCCUCCUGGGUUUUAUUCAAGCAAGCAACAAGAUGCAUUUUCUAUUUCUUUCAUUUAUUUUUCUUUUCUUUCUGACCAUAAAGACUAACUCACGGUAGGCAAUAAUUAAUUUUUCACAAAUGAAAAUGAGAUUGUGAGGAAUAGAUACACAGUCUACUCAAUUUAUAUUUUCUUAUGGUCAUAUCGUAUGUAAAAUCCAGCUGUCAGACAAUUUUAAUGUUGCCUACAACCCCCUGAACCAUUUAGCUCCUUACUGUAUCGUUUUCAUAUGUAUAUGUAUAUAUACACACACACACAGACAGACAGACACAUAUGGUGCCUACCUUGACUAUGGCCCAUACACAGUUCAACACCAGUUGUUCUAUCUUCUGUUAACCUUGUUUUGCCUUACUUUGUUCUCCUUUUCUGGGGCUUCUUUCUUACACAUUUUAAUAAACAUUAAACUUGUGCAAUACUCUUUCCUACU
ensembl:lncRNA